CCGCCCCCAGGCACCCCGCGCGGCUGCCAAUGCGGAUCCAGGCGCACCGCCCCCAUCCACCACGCGCGGAUGCUGGUGCGGACCCACCCCCGCCGCCCGCCAUGGCCUAUCCACCCACAUGGUCCUCCCCUUCCUGCUCAUCUCCGUCACCCUAGUGGCCUCAUCCGCCUCCCACCCCUCCCUUCCUCUACUUCGGCAGCCCCCCAAAGGAAGGGCCUCCCGACCUGCUUCUACGUCAUCUAGUGGAGGUGAGAUGCGCGAGCUACGUGGGCUUCAGUCUCCCCCUAGCCACCACCGGCAGCAACUCCGCCGGCGUGGAUUUUUUUGGGGAUUUUGGAUGUGCAGGAAACUGCUGCAAUGUGGAGUGUGUUUUUCGUGCACCCUGACGGCGACCCAUCCACCCCGACCUCUCCCAUGUCUCUUCGGUGGCGAGCUCGAGAUGCUCUCCCGGCGUGGUGGCCGCCACGGCUUCCCCUCCUUUUGAUCCGGCUGCCUUGGCCUCCGCCAUCUAUUCCGCUGCUUCUCACAGCUGUGGCUGACGAGGAGGACAGUGGCUGUGGUGGCAUGCUCCUCCUUAUCCCCCCAAUUGCACUGUCGAAAUGAAAAAAAUGUUACGUACAAGCUUCCUGGCGCGGCGUCGGGCAGUUUGGUAGGGAGCGGCGUGCAGUUUGCUUGCAUGGGCGGGAGGUUCCUGAUUCUGCUCCGACCCAUCUUCUUCCCCCUAGUGCACUGCAGUUGUUCAUCAUUUUCAUCGUGGUGUGCCGUUUGCAAAGAUCAUGGUCGUGCAGCUCGUCGUUGGUGUUUUGCGGUUCUGCGCGUGGGGCGGUGCGGUUCUUUUUUUGGCAUGCAAAAUGGCAAAAAAAUGUAGUGUGGUUGGGCGCCCUACCGAGGUGCAGUUUGUCCAUGGGUCCUUGUUUUGGUGUUUCAAGGAAAAAAGUAUGAUGAUUCGGUUGUUGUUCUGUUAAAACACACCGAAAACUUUGUUGGUGUAGCUUCAAAAAAGAGAGCAUCAAAAGUAUAAUGAACUCCUUGUGUCUCGUUGGCAUAGCUUCAAAAAAGUGCAAAGAAUAUUUUUGGCCA